rnacentral:tRNA from 1 species
GGGGAUUUAGCUCAGCGGUAGAGCGCUUGCUUAGCAAGCACAAGACCCUGGGUUCGGUCCCCAGCUCCG